CAACCAACCCAUAACAGGGGGAUAACCCGGAGAAAUCCGGACUAAUACCGCAUAAGACCACGAUAUCGCAUGAUAUAGAGGUCAAAUAUUUAUAGGUUAUGGACGGGCAUGCGUCUGAUUAGCUGGUUGGCGGGGUAACGGCCCACCAAGGCAUCGAUCAGUAGGGGUUCUGAGAGGAAGGUCCCCCACAUUGGAACUGAGACACGGUCCAAACUCCUACGGGAGGCAGCAGUGAGGAAUAUUGGUCAAUGGGCGAAAGCCUGAACCAGCCAUGUCGCGUAGAAGGAUGAAGGUCCUAUGGAUUGUAAACUUCUUUUGCAGGAGGGUAAAGUGAGCUACGUGUAGUUCAUUGCAAGUACCCCGCGAAUAAGCAUCGGCUAACUCCGUGCCAGCCGCGGC
rnacentral:rRNA from 1 species